ensembl:snoRNA LOC120095767 small nucleolar RNA SNORA17
CUAAACAAACAAAUUGCAGAUGUAGCAGGCUUAAUUAAUACCAUGGGUCACAUAUGUGUAGGUAGGUGCAGAAAUGUUAUGUCUAUACUCAGUUUUCUGACCUAUGAACAUCUGAAUUAUUAGUAGCCUAACAUU